GAUGAACGCUGGCGGCGUGCCUAAUACAUGCAAGUCGAGCGAACAGACGAGGAGCUUGCUCCUCUGACGUUAUCGGCGGACGGGUGAGUAACACGUGGAUAACCUACCUAUAAGACUGGGAUAACUUCGGGAAACCGUGGCUAAUACCGGAUAAUAUAUUGAACCGCAUGGUUCAAUAGUGAAAGACGGUUUUGCUGUCACUUAUAGAUGGAUCCGCGCCGCAUUAGCUAGUUGGUAAGGUAACGGCUUACCAAGGCAACGAUGGGUAGCCGACCUGAGAGGGUGAUCGGCCACACUGGAACUGAGACACGGUCCAGACUCCUACGGGAGGCAGCAGCAGGGAAUCUUACGCAAUGGGCGAAAGCCUGACGGAGCAACGCCGCGUGAGUGAUGAAGGUCUUCGGAUCGUAAAACUCUGUUAUUAGGGAAGAACAAAUGUGUAAGUACCUAUGAACGUCUUGACGGUACCUAAUCAGAAAGCCACGGCUAACUACGUG
rnacentral:rRNA from 1 species